UACGAAGGGGGCUAGCGUUGCUCGGAAUUACUGGGCGUAAAGCGCACGUAGGCGGACUCUUAAGUCGGUGGUGAAAUCCUGGAGCUCAACUCCAGAACUGCCUUCGAUACUGAGAGUCUUGAGUCCGGGAGAGGUGAGUGGAACUGCGAGUGUAGAGGUGAAAUUCGUAGAUAUUCGCAAGAACACCAGUGGCGAAGGCGGCUCACUGGCCCGGUACUGACGCUGAGGU
rnacentral:rRNA from 1 species